CUACGGGAUGCAGCAGUGAGGAAUAUUGCACAAUGGGGGGAACCCUGAUGCAGCAACGCCGCGUGGAGGAUGACGCAUUUCGGUGUGUAAACUCCUUUUAUAUGUCAAGAAAAUGACGGUAGCAUAUGAAUAAGCACCGGCUAACUCCGUGCCAGCAGCCGCGGUAAUACGGAGGGUGCAAGCGUUACUCGGAAUCACUGGGCGUAAAGGACGCGUAGGUGGGUUGGAAAGUCAGGUGUGAAAUCCUACAGCUUAACUGUAGAACUGCACUUGAAACUUCUAAUCUAGAGUAUGGGAGGGGGGGAUGGAAUUAGUGGUGUAGGGGUAGAAUCCGUAGAUAUCACUAGGAAUACCUAAAGCGAAGGCGAUCUCCUGGAACAUUACUGACGCUAAGGCGUGAAAGCGUGGGGAGCAAACAGGAUUAGAUACCCGCGUAGUC
rnacentral:rRNA from 1 species